CAACAUUUCUGGUGACCAUGAAUGGACUGGAGACAACCGAGUUACUGACUCCGUUGCCUGCAGGCUGGAGAAGGGCCUGAGAUGCAGGAAUCCUGAGACCUCUGGUGCCACCAGGUUCAUAUCCCAAAGGCUGAGGGAGACAAAUCACCAUGAGUCAUCUGUCACCUGUCAUCAAGUCACCAGGUGUCACCUGUUUUAAUUGGUCCACUUCUCAUCUUUUGAGUGAAAUUCACAAGAAAAUCUUUAAGUUUCAACAAUUACAUCCUGUAAGAAACCUUUCUCAACUUCCCAACAAUCUUGUGAAGAAGCAGAAUUGGCAGAGAGUCUCCACUGGCCAAAGAAGCACCCCUUCAGCAGGUUUCUUUAUGGAUUUUAGUAGCAGUCAGUAGCUCCUUAGAGGACCAUAGACGUGGCUUGGAUUCUGGCUUUCUUCAUCAUAAAGUCAUUCAUCAUCUCUCUUUGACUUUAGACUCCCAUGCCUAUAAAAUGGAACUGAGAAAGCCUAACAUGGAAAGUGUAAGAUUUAGUGAGAUAAAAGUAUCACAAGGAAACACACUAAUACUAUAGUUAUUUUUGCUUACUGUUCUCAACACUCCUACACUUCAAAUAAUCAGGCUCGGACUAUUGGCCUCGAUUGCUGUACUGAUAAGACAUUGGCCACCAUCUUCUGGAUACUUCCUCUGGGAGGCACUCAGCAAAGUCAUGCAGGGCAUUCUGGACUGAGCUCCUUCUG
rnacentral:lncRNA from 1 species